rnacentral:rRNA from 1 species
GAUGAACGCUGGCGGCGUGCCUAACACAUGCAAGUCGAGCGAGGGUUUGCUCAGUAUUGAGUAUUCUAAAACUAGAAUGUUCAAUUCUGAGCAAAACCAAGCGGCGGACGGGUGAGUAACGCGUGGGUAACCUGCCCUAUACACAUGGAUAACAUACUGAAAAGUUUACUAAUACAUGAUAAUAUAUAUUUGCGGCAUCGCAGAUAUAUCAAAGUGUUAGCGGUAUAGGAUGGACCCGCGUCUGAUUAGCUAGUUGGUGAGAUAACUGCCCACCAAGGCGACGAUCAGUAGCCGACCUGAGAGGGUGAUCGGCCACAUUGGAACUGAGACACGGUCCAAACUCCUACGGGAGGCAGCAGUGGGGAAUAUUGCACAAUGGGCGAAAGCCUGAUGCAGCAACGCCGCGUGAACGAUGAAGGUCUUCGGAUCGUAAAGUUCUGUUGCAGGGGAAGAUAAUGACGGUACCCUGUGAGGAGGCCCCGGCUAACUACGUGCCAGCAGCCGCGGUAAUACGUAGGGGGCUAGCGUUAUCCGGAUUUACUGGGCGUAAAGGGUGCGUAGGUGGUCCUUCAAGUCGGUGGUUAAAGGCUACGGCUCAACCGUAGUAAGCCGCCGAAACUGGAGGACUUGAGUGCAGGAGAGGAAAGUGGAAUUCCCAGUGUAGCGGUGAAAUGCGUAGAUAUUGGGAGGAACACCAGUAGCGAAGGCGGCUUUCUGGACUGCAACUGACACUGAGGCACGAAAGCGUGGGUAGCAAACAGG